rnacentral:rRNA from 1 species
AACGAACGCUGGCGGCAUGCCUAACACAUGCAAGUCGUACGAGACCUUCGGGUCUAGUGGCGCACGGGUGCGUAACGCGUGGGAACCUGCCCUUAGGUUCGGAAUAACUCCCCGAAAGGGGUGCUAAUACCUGAUAAUGUCUUCGGACCAAAGAUUUAUCGCCUUUGGAUGGGCCCGCGUUGGAUUAGCUAGUUGGUAGGGUAAAAGCCUACCAAGGCGACGAUCCAUAGCUGGUCUGAGAGGAUGAUCAGCCACACUGGGACUGAGACACGGCCCAGACUCCUACGGGAGGCAGCAGUGGGGAAUAUUGGACAAUGGGCGAAAGCCUGAUCCAGCAAUGCCGCGUGAGUGAUGAAGGCCUUAGGGUUGUAAAGCUCUUUUACCCGGGAUGAUAAUGACAGUACCGGGAGAAUAAGCUCCGGCUAACUCCGUG